rnacentral:rRNA from 1 species
CUAGUUGGUAAGGUAACGGCUUACCAAGGCUACGAUGGGUAGGGGUCCUGAGAGGGAGAUCCCCCACACUGGUACUGAGACACGGACCAGACUCCUACGGGAGGCAGCAGUGAGGAAUAUUGGACAAUGGGCGCAAGCCUGAUCCAGCCAUGCCGCGUGCAGGAUGACGGUCCUAUGGAUUGUAAACUGCUUUUGUACAGGAAGAAACACUGGUUCGUGAACCAGCUUGACGGUACUGUAAGAAUAAGGAUCGGCUAACUCCGUGCCAGCAGCCGCGGUAAUACGGAGGAUCCAAGCGUUAUCCGGAAUCAUUGGGUUUAAAGGGUCCGUAGGCGGUUUAAUAAGUCAGUGGUGAAAGCCCAUCGCUCAACGGUGGAACGGCCAUUGAUACUGUUAGACUUGAAUUAUUAGGAAGUAACUAGAAUAUGUAGUGUAGCGGUGAAAUGCUUAGAGAUUACAUGGAAUACCAAUUGCGAAGGCAGGUUACUACUAAUGGAUUGACGCUGAUGGACGAAAGCGUGGGUAGCGAACAGGAUUAGAUACCCUGGUAGUCCACGCCGUAAACGAUGGAUACUAGCUGUUGGAAGCAAUUUCAGUGGCUAAGCGAAAGUGAUAAGUAUCCCACCUGGGGAGUACGUUCGCAAGAAUGAAACUCAAAGGAAUUGACG